GACGUGACUUCAGAGUUUGAUCCUGGCUCAGGACGAACGCUGGCGGCGUGCCUAACACAUGCAAGUCGAACGGGGUGAAUCGCUUCGGUGGUUCACUUAGUGGCGAACGGGUGAGUAACGCGUGAGGAACCUGCCUUCCAGUGGGGGACAACAGUUGGAAACGACUGCUAAUACCGCAUAACGCAGCUAGAUCGCAUGAUCUUACUGCCAAAGCUUUAUGUGCUGGAAGAUGGCCUCGCGUCUGAUUAGCUAGUUGGUGGGGUAACGGCCCACCAAGGCGACGAUCAGUAGCCGGUCUGAGAGGAUGAACGGCCACAUUGGGACUGAGAUACGGCCCAG
rnacentral:rRNA from 1 species